rnacentral:rRNA from 1 species
CGGGGGGGGGGGGACCGCCGGAUAGUUCGUGAGGUGUUGGCCCUCCCUAAAACCAAUGUCCCCAAGCUUGUCUUUCUCUGUGAGACAAGGCAAGCAGCUGAUAAGAUGGAAAAGCUAAGGUGGAGGCUAGGUUUGAAAGGUUUCUGUGGUGUUAGUUCUGUGGGACUAAGUGGUGGCCUUGCUCUAUAUUGGGAUGAAUCGUUACUAGUCACGGUGUUGGACUCGUGUCAGCGUUUCAUUGAUGUUUCCCUAGAGGAUAAGGGUUGUGAUAAAAAGUGGCGUAUGACCUUUGUAUAUGGAGAGCCAAGGGUUGAGAAUCGGCACCACAUGUGGGAUCAUUUCACUCAUUUGAAAUCAGUGUCGCAAGAUCCUUGGCUCGUAUGUGGUGAUUUCAAUGAAGCCUUGUGGCAACAUGAGCAUAUGUCAAGGGCGUUGAGAUCCAAGUCUCAGAUGGCAGCUUUCCGGGAUUGCUUGUUGUUAUGUGAGUUGGAAGACCUUGGUUUUUCUGGAUUGCCUUUCACUUAUGAUAAUGGGCAGCUCGGUAACAGUAAUGUUCGUGUGCGUUUGGACUGGGUCUAUGUGAACGAACAAUGA